rnacentral:pre_miRNA from 7 species
UCUUUGGAGACAUGGGUUUUCACGCCUAUCCCAGACAAGCCCCCAAAGACCUCUGAAGGGAGACCAUCACUCAAGUCUCGGGAUAAUAGUGGACCCCCAAGAACUCACGAGAGACC